UACGUAGGGUGCAAGCGUUGUCCGGAAUUAUUGGGCGUAAAGAGCUCGUAGGCGGUCUGUCGCGUCGGCUGUGAAAACCCGGAGCUCAACUCCGGGCCUGCAGUCGAUACGGGCAGACUGGAGUUCGGCAGGGGAGACUGGAAUUCCUGGUGUAGCGGUGAAAUGCGCAGAUAUCAGGAGGAACACCGGUGGCGAAGGCGGGUCUCUGGGCCAAAACUGACGCUGAGGAGCGAAAGCGUGGGGAGCGAACAGG
rnacentral:rRNA from 1 species